rnacentral:rRNA from 1 species
AAAAGUGAAAGACGGUCUUGCUGUCACUUAUAGAUGGAUCCGCGCUGCAUUAGCUAGUUGGUAAGGUAACGGCUUACCAAGGCAACGAUGCAUAGCCGACCUGAGAGGGUGAUCGGCCACACUGGAACUGAGACACGGUCCAGACUCCUACGGGAGGCAGCAGUAGGGAAUCUUCCGCAAUGGGCGAAAGCCUGACGGAGCAACGCCGCGUGAGUGAUGAAGGUCUUCGGAUCGUAAAACUCUGUUAUUAGGGAAGAACAUAUGUGUAAGUAACUGUGCACAUCUUGACGGUACCUAAUCAGAAAGCCACGGCUAACUACGUGCCA